CAAAACCAUGAACACUUUUUCAAGAUUUGUGUAUUCUUGGUGAUUUUUCAAACCCAAAAACAAAAGUGACAAGGUUUCUACUUUCUAGCUUUAAAAUGAUGUGUGAGUGUCUUACAAUAAAACACAAACACAUGCUCAAAAAACCCCCAAAACCGUGCCAACCACAAAGAACAAAACCCCAAAUUUUGUCCAUGACUUAUUCUUCAUUCAUGCAUACAAAACAACCUUUUUACAUGCAUAUCUUUUUCAACUCUUGAUUUAUAUUUUUUCAACCAUUGAAAAACAAAAGAUAAACAUACUUUUAAAUGAAGAAAUAAUAUGUCAAACUAGUUCUAAACUCAUUUU
rnacentral:lncRNA from 1 species